rnacentral:misc_RNA from 1 species
GAUGAAGAACGUAGCGAAAUGCGACAAGUAAUGUGAAUUGCAGAAUUCAGUGAAUCAUCGAAUCUUUGAACGCACAUUGCGCCCCCUGGUAUUCCGGGGGGCAUGCCUGUCCGAGCGUCAUUACAACCCUCAAGCUCAGCUUGGUGUUGGGCCCCGCCGCCCCGGCGGGCCCUAAAGUCAGUGGCGGUGCCGUCCGGCUCCGAGCGUAGUAAUUCUUCUCGCUCUGGAGGUCCGGUCGUGUGCUCGCCAGCAACCCCCAAUUUUUUUCAGGUUGACCUCGGAUCAGGUAGGGAUACCCGCUGAACUUAAGCAUAUCAAUAAGCGGAGGA